UUUUAAGUUAAUAUUUAUGGUGCUGUAAAUGGCAAAAUUGUGGCAGCUGGUGAAAGACCCCCGAAGGGAGACCCUCACUCAAGCCUCGGGACAGCCGCGGACCCAAGAAGACACUGAGACCGAACUCAAAAUGUAGAAGGCAAGAUUUAAUAAAGUAACAGCAAGAAAGCACAUAGACCAGAGCUCUGGGGUCGAAACUCAUACACCUAGUAUGGUGUAGAGGAGAAUCUACCUCGAGCCAAAAUUUUUCACAGGCUUAUAUAGGAAAAACUCAAGGGGGGAGAGCGGGGCAGGGAAAGUACAAGUUUGCAUAACUAAGGGGUUCUGCCAAGGGAAUUCUACGUAACUAAGGGGUCAUGUCCUAUUAUUUGGCAAUGUAUCCGGUUCAUUCUGAGGUUGUUCCAGGAGGCCCUUAUCUCAAAAAUGUUCUUGGAACAGUCUUUAGUUGGGAGGGUUCGAACUCUAGGGUGAGGAGUUCAGGAAUGCAUUCUGGGGUGAAGAGUUCAGGAGUGUUCUGGGAACAAUCUCUAGAUGGGAGGGGUCGGGCUCUGGGGUGAGGAAGAGUUUAGUGAUUUUUUUUAUCUUUAUUCUUCACUGGUACCUAUUGAAAAGCCAAAAACCAUAUCCGUUAUUUAAACAGCUUGUAACUAUUGACUGUAUAUGUUGAAGAAAAGACAAAAAGAAUGCCAGGGUAUAUUAGGGUAGAAACUGCUCUAGCAGUCUCUAUCCAGGACCAAGAGAGCUGUGGUAGUGUCCGUCCCCAUAUUAGAGGUGAGGAUGCUGACCAAGACCUUUUCUCACAUCUGGGCAAGCUGAUGGAGGAGGGAAGUUCAACCUGUGUAAACCCUGAUUUUUGUUAAUGCACCUAGGCCUUCAUUCAUUUUGUAACCACCAUAGACUGCCAGAGAGGCCCUGUCGGGCCUUCAGACCUAUGAUUUUGUGGAAGGGCACCAGUACGAAGCAGGUAUCUUGGGGAAGGAGAUAACAAUUCACAGUGAGACUGAAGUUCAAUUGUUGGUCAUUCCCCUUUUGCCUGAAAAACAUGUAAUACAUACAAGUAUGUAUUUUCAGUCUACCCCCACUGUUCUCUUCCACUUUUUUUUCAUAGUUUAUAUCUUUUAUUGAUGAAAUAGCAUUUUGGUUUCUAGAUGAUUGUGAACAUUUGAUAUGAUUAGUCUGUUAAAAUAUAACCAUUCUGAAAGGUAUGCAGUGGUAUGUUCAUGUGAAUAAUUCCUUUUUAAAAAAAAUUGGAUAUUUUCUUUAUGUACAUUUCAAAUUUCAAAUGUUAUCCUGAAAGUUCCCUGUACUCCCCCCAACUCCCCCGCCCUGCUCUCCUACCCACCCACUCCCGCUUCUUGGCCCUGGCAAUGCACUAAAUAAAGAUAGAAUAUUAAAAGC
rnacentral:lncRNA from 1 species